rnacentral:rRNA from 1 species
GAUGAACGCUGGCGGCGUGCCUAAUACAUGCAAGUCGAGCGAACGGACGAGAAGCUUGCUUCUCUGAUGUUAGCGGCGGACGGGUGAGUAACACGUGGAUAACCUACCUAUAAGACUGGGAUAACUUCGGGAAACCGGAGCUAAUACCGGAUGAUAUUUUGAACCGCAUGGUUCAAAAGUGAAAGACGGUCUUGCUGUCACUUAUAGAUGGAUCCGCGCUGCAUUAGCUAGUUGGUAAGGUAACGGCUUACCAAGGCAACGAUGCAUAGCCGACCUGAGAGGGUGAUCGGCCACACUGGAACUGAGACACGGUCCAGACUCCUACGGGAGGCAGCAGUAGGGAAUCUUCCGCAAUGGGCGAAAGCCUGACGGAGCAACGCCGCGUGAGUGAUGAAGGUCUUCGGAUCGUAAAACUCUGUUAUUAGGGAAGAACAUAUGUGUAAGUAACUGUGCUCAUCUUGACGGUACCUAAUCAGAAAGCCACGGCUAACUACGUGCCAGCAGCCGCGGUAAUACGUAGGUGGCAAGCGUUAUCCGGAAUUAUUGGGCGUAAAGCGCGCGUAGGCGGUUUUUUAAGUCUGAUGUGAAAGCCCACGGCUCAACCGUGGAGGGUCAUUGGAAACUGGAAAACUUGAGUGCAGAAGAGGAAAGUGGAAUUCCAUGUGUAGCGGUGAAAUGCGCAGAGGUAUGGAGGAACACCAGUGGCGAAGGCGACUUUCUGGUCUGUAACUGACGCUGAUGUGCGAAAGCGUGGGGAUCAAACAGGAUUAGAUACCCUGGUAGUCCACGCCGUAAACGAUGAGUGCUAAGUGUUAGGGGGUUUCCGCCCCUUAGUGCUGCAGCUAACGCAUUAAGCACUCCGCCUGGGGAGUACGACCGCAAGGUUGAAACUCAAAGGAAUUGACGGGGACCCGCACAAGCGGUGGAGCAUGUGGUUUAAUUCGAAGCAACGCGAAGAACCUUACCAAAUCUUGACAUCCUUUGACAACUCUAGAGAUAGAGCCUUCCCCUUCGGGGGACAAAGUGACAGGUGGUGCAUGGUUGUCGUCAGCUCGUGUCGUGAGAUGUUGGGUUAAGUCCCGCAACGAGCGCAACCCUUAAGCUUAGUUGCCAUCAUUAAGUUGGGCACUCUAAGUUGACUGCCGGUGACAAACCGGAGGAAGGUGGGGAUGACGUCAAAUCAUCAUGCCCCUUAUGAUUUGGGCUACACACGUGCUACAAUGGACAAUACAAAGGGCAGCGAAACCGCGAGGUCAGGCAAAUCCCAUAAAGUUGUUCUCAGUUCGGAUUGUAGUCUGCAACUCGACUACAUGAAGCUGGAAUCGCUAGUAAUCGUAGAUCAGCAUGCUACGGUGAAUACGUUCCCGGGUCU